rnacentral:rRNA from 1 species
GGGAUGUUCAUAACCCUUUGUUGUCCGACUCUGUUGCCUCCGGGGCGACCCUGCCUUCGGGCGGGGGCUCCGGGUGGACACUUCAAACUCUUGCGUAACUUUGCAGUCUGAGUAAACUUAAUUAAUAAAUUAAAACUUUUAACAACGGAUCUCUUGGUUCUGGCAUCGAUGAAGAACGCAGCGAAAUGCGAUAAGUAAUGUGAAUUGCAGAAUUCAGUGAAUCAUCGAAUCUUUGAACGCACAUUGCGCCCCCUGGUAUUCCGGGGGGCAUGCCUGUUCGAGCGUCAUUUCACCACUCAAGCCUCGCUUGGUAUUGGGCAACGCGGUCCGCCGCGUGCCUCAAAUCGACCGGCUGGGUCUUCUGUCCCCUAAGCGUUGUGGAAACUAUUCGCUAAAGGGUGUUCGGGAGGCUACGCCGUAAAACAACCCCAUUUCUAAGGUUGACCUCGGAUCAGGUAGGGAUACCCGCUGAACUUAAGCAUAUCAAUA